rnacentral:rRNA from 1 species
AUUGAACGCUGGCGGCACGCUUAACACAUGCAAGUCGAGCGGUAACAUGGGUAGUAGCAAUACUAUCUGAUGACGAGCGGCGGACGGGUGAGUAACACGUAGGAACUUGCCCAGUAGAGGGGGACAACCAAGGGAAACUUUGGCUAAUACCGCAUAUACUCGAGAGAGGAAAGCUGCCGCAAGGUGGCGCUACUGGAAAGCACUGCUUCCGAUUAGCUAGUUGGUGAGGUAAUAGCCUACCAAGGCGAGGAUCGGUAACUGGUCUGAGAGGACGACCAGUCACACUGGGACUGAGACACGGCCCAGACUCCUACGGGAGGCAGCAGUGGGGAAUCUUGGACAAUGGGGGCAACCCUGAUCCAGCGAUGCCGCGUGAGUGAAGAAGGCCUUCGGGUCGUAAAGCUCUUUAGGCUGGGAAGAAGGUUAGUAGUUUAAGAGAUAACUAGCUUGACUGUACCAGCAGAAUAAGCACCGGCAAACUCUGUGCCAGCAGCCGCCGCCG